rnacentral:rRNA from 1 species
UACGGAGGGGGCGAGCGUUGUCCGAAGUUACUGGGCGUAAAGCGCGCGUAGGCGGGUUGGUAAGUCCGCUGUGAAAGCCCGGAGCUCAACUCCGGAGGGUCGGUGGAUACUGCCAGUCUUGAAGGUGCUAGGGGGAGAUGGAAUUACCGGUGUAGCGGUGAAAUGCGUAGAGAUCGGUAGGAACACCAGUGGCGAAGGCGGUCUCCUGGGGCAUUCUUGACGCUGAGGCGCGAAAGCUGGGGGGAGCGAACGGG